AUUGGACGCCGGCGGCAUGCUUUACACAUGCAAGUCGAACGGCAGCGCGGGCUUCGGCCUGGCGGCGAGUGGCGAACGGGUGAGUAAUACAUCGGAACGUGCCCAGUAGUGGGGGAUAGCUCGGCGAAAGCCGGAUUAAUACCGCAUACGACCUGAGGGUGAAAGCGGGGGAUCUUCGGACCUCGCGCUAUUGGAGCGGCCGAUGGCAGAUUAGCUAGUUGGUGGGGUAAAGGCCUACCAAGGCGACGAUCUGUAGCUGGUCUGAGAGGACGACCAGCCACACUGGGACUGAGACACGGCCCAGACUCCUACGGGAGGCAGCAGUGGGGAAUUUUGGACAAUGGGCGAAAGCCUGAUCCAGCAAUGCCGCGUGUGUGAUGAAGGCCUUCGGGUUGUAAAGCACUUUUGGCGGGAACGAAAAGGACUGUGCCAAUACCACGGUUCGAUGACGGUACCCGCAGAAUAAGCACCGGCUAACUACGUG
rnacentral:rRNA from 1 species